UUUCAGAUGGAGUUUCGCUCUUGUUGCCCAGGCUGGAGUGCCAUGGCGAGAUCUAGGCUCACUGCAACCUCUGCCGAGUUCAACCAAUUCUCCUGCCUCAGCCUCCCAAGUAGCUGAGAUUACAGGCAUGCACCACCACGCCUGGCUAAUUUUUUUCAUAUUUUUAAUAGAGACAGGGUUUCACCAUGUUGGUCAGGCUGGUCUUGAACUCCUGACCUCAAGUGAUCCACCUACCUUGGCCUCCAAAGUACUGGGAUUACAGGCGUGAACCACCACACCCAGCCUAUACCAUAUUUAGAAUGUCUUUUCUACCUUAACAUUCUCUUUUAUGUUUUUUCUCUUAUUGGCUUUUUUUUUUUGUAUUUAGGACUUUAAUUGAGGUGAAACAUAUUUUCUGAUGAAUGCUGUACUGGUAGGGAUUUAACUUGCCAAUGCCAAACUUCCAAUGCCAAAACCAUAGUAGCGGGUCAAUUUAACAAUCGUUAUUUAUUCUUGAAUGAACAAAUAAAUGAGUUUCUAGGCUUUAUCUCUCCGCGGAUGGUGUCGCCCCUUCCUGAAUUGGCACGUCCCUGUACCUUUUAGGAAGUCUGGUAGGGUGCACAACCAUCCCUCUUCAUUCUUUUCCUUUAAAGGUUCCGACUAUUGUUACAUAGUUCCUCUUCCAUAUUACUCUGAGACUCAGCUUGUCUAGUUCCAUUAAAAUCUUUGCACUGCUGAAUCUUUUCAUUUUUGAAUACAAUAAAUCCCACAACAUAGUCAGAUCUUUUAAAUGAGUUUGUCAGUAAGGUUUUAUAGUUUUCUCUGUAAUCUUGAACAUUUCUUGUUAAGUUUCUUUCUCGGUUUAUUAUAGUUUUUUAAUUAUAUAUGAGAUUUUUCUAUGCAUUUCUAAUUGGUUCUUUCGGAUGCAUAGGAAAGUUAAUGGUUUUAAAGAUAUUGAUCUUGGCUGGGUGCUGUGGCUCACACCUGUAAUCCCAGUGCUUUGGGAGGUCGAGGCGGGUGGAUUGUCUGAGGUCAGGAGUUCGAGACCAGCCUGACCAACAUGGUGAAACCCUGUCUCUACUAAAAAUACAAAAUUAGCCAGGCAUGGUGGCAGGUGCCUGUAAUCCCAGCUACUUGGGAGGCAGGAGAAUUGCUUGAACCCAGGAGGCAGAGGUUGCAGUGAGCCGAGAUCACGCCAUUGCACUCCAGCCUGGGCAACAGAGUGAGACUCUGUCUUAAAAAAAAAAAAAAAAAAAAACAGAAAUAUGUAUAUAUCUUGUCUAGCACGCUGUUCAUAGCCAGUGUUUAAAAUAUGACACCUUGUUUAACUGCUAUUUUCUAAAGACAGUAGCGUAGAUUUUUAAGAGAGUAGCGUAGAUUUUUAAGAGGCAGUCGCAGUGGUUCAUUUUAUAUGUUAACCUGACUGGGGCAACGAAUGCCCAGAUAGCUGGUAAGACAGUAUUCUGGAUGUGUCUGCAAGGGUAUUUCUGGAAGAGAUUAGCAUUGCAAUCUGUAGCCAAAUGAAGAUUCCCUUCCCCCGUGUGGGCAGGCAUUGUGCAAUUCACAGAGGGCCCAAGUAGAACAAAAAGGCUGAGAAAGGGGGAGUUCAUUCUCUGCUGGAGCUGGAACAUCCAUCUUCUCCUGCCCUCUGGUAUCAGACCUCCUGGCUCCCUCCCUUUCCCCUACCUCACUUCUCAGGCCUUUGGACUCAGAGACUGAAUCACAUCACCAGCUUUCCUGGUUCCCUGGCUUGUAGAUGGCAGACAGUCUGACUUCUGGGCCCCCAGAAUCACAUGAGCCAAUUCCCAUAAAAAAUUUUUCUCUCUCUCAAACUCUCUUCCUCCUAUGUAUGUAAUAUAUCCUGUUGAUUCUGUUUCUCUGGAGAACCCUGAUUAAUACACGGUCUGAACUCAGAACAUCACGCGUGUCCAUACAGUGAAGAGUGUUGCACAAAGUUGCAGAGUGAAUGGCACAAGCAGCCAGAAAUUGCUUGUCCCUGGGAAAGAGCUGGAAUGAAAUGCUCCCCCAGGCUGGCCAACUGUGCUGUGGCUACCUGGGCCUCAGGGGAGGAGGGAGCAGUGGGGAGAACCAGGGCCCUGUGAGCAGGGAGGUCCAGGUUUCCUCCAAAAGAGGAAUGUGGAGGCAGAAUGGAGAUCACGUUGGGGCUGUUGCUUCCAGCUCUUCUGGAAUCUGGAAGCACUCAAGUUGGUGGCUGUGUCUGGCUAAGGUUUCAGAUGAGCUAAGAAGCAGAAGACAGUCCACUGUUGCCAGUCCCUUUAGAGAAGGAGGGAGCCAGGCUGAGAGGGCAAAUCUACUGACCCAGGACAGCUGGAAGCUAGGGAGGGACGAGCUCCCGUGCAUUGCAAUAGAUGCAAUGGACGUGACGUGCAAUCAUCGGAGUCAGGGUUUAAGGCUGGGCUGCUCAACCUCUUCUGAGUGCUAAGAAUCCCCUGGAGUGUUUUCUAAAAACGAGGUUUCACUCGUUUGAUCCUAAAGAUUAUGAUGCUGAGAGUCUGGGGGCAAAGCUCAGAGCACUUUAUUUUUAACAAGCAUCCCAGGUAACUCGAAAUUAGCAAAUACUGAUUUAAUGUGCAUUAUCUUUGACCAUUUGCAAGUGGGUUCUUAAGUUAACAUAGUAAAUUGAAAGAUGAGACAGGUGCGACACAUUAUUCAGGGAAACCCUUCUGUUUCAAAGAAUGACUGCUUGGCCCAUCUGACUUGUGGUGGUAAAGGCAGGAAGAUGAAAUAAAGCACCCAGUGUGUGCAGUGUUUAGCAUGAAUGAAGUUAGAAGGAAUGAAAUCUAUGUACAAUUUGCCUGCAUAGCAGCUGCAUGAAAGUGAGUUGGCUUGUGAUACGGCAGCUUAGAAAUAGGGCAGCUUAGAAAACCAGAUUGGUGGGGGCGAGCAGGUGAAGGGAGGCCAGGGGUCCCCCAUGACCUAUACUUCCUUUUCCCUUUGCAACCCCUAACCCGCUGCUCCUCCAACCCUUGACCAAGGGAGAGGAUGGGCUCCCUGGGGAGGGCUGAAUGAGGGUGGAGCAUGGUGUGUGUGUGUGUGUGUGUGUGUGUGUUGGGUGGAUGUGUAUAUGUGAGGUAUGUUGUGUGUGUGGUGUGUAUUGUGUUUGUAGUGUGUUUAUGUGUGCUGUGUGCUCUAUAUUGUGUGCAUGAGCAUGUGUGCAUGUGUGUAGUAUGGUGUGUAUUGUGUAUAUGUGUGUGUUACGUAUGGUUUGUAUUGUGUAUGUAGUUUAUGUGUGGUGCGUGCUAUGUAUUGUGUGUAUCAGCAUAUGUGUAUGUGUGUAGUAUGGUGUGUAUGUAUGUGUGUGGUGUGUAUUGUAUAUGCAGGGUGUGAAUGUGUGUGGGGCAUAUUGUGUGUGUAUGUAUGUAAUGUGUGUGUGUUGUGUGUGUAUGUGUAGUGUCUGGUGUGUAUUGUGUGUGUAUGUGUGUAAUGUGUGUGUAGUGUGCUGUGUGUGUAUGUGUAAUGUGUGUGUAGUGUGCUGUGUGUGUGUAUUGUGUGAGUGUGUAGUGUGUAAGGUGUAUGUGAGUGUGCUUGUGGCAUGUAUUGUGAGUGUGUGUCUCUAAUGUGAGGUUUGAAGGGCCUCACAAUUAUGCCCACAAAGGUCACUUGGUCUUUCCUGGAGACGCCUCAUGGGAGUUUUCACUGUGGCUUCCUGCCACUUGCUGUGGUCUUUAAAAAAGUAAAGAGAGUUACAAAUCAUUCCUUGUUUGCAGCAUAAAUUGCAGAUGAUAAUUCAAAUUCCUGCAUCAGGUGGAAAGUAGCAGAUUUAAAACACUGCAAAGAAGGGGCUGAGCAGUGAGACGGAUGCUUUGGAACAAUCGAGAAAGUAAGAGCCAGCUGUAAGGUUGCCUGCAGCCAUGGAGCGAUGAAGUGUCAAGGUCAAAGAUCCCCCCAGGUCACGCAGUCCUGCCACCCUCCCUCCCUCUAUGGCCCUGCGCACUCCCAGUGGCAUAGCUAGGGUAGAUGAAGGGGACACCUCUGACCAUAUCUCUCUGCCCUCUGACUCAAGUCCUUCCUGCUAUAAUGAAAUCCCCCAUGCUCCCUGAGCUUGGCAUCUACUUAGUCAAAGAAUGUGGAGACUUAGUUCUCAGGAGGGCCGCUACUGAGUGGGUAUGCCACUGGUCAAGAGGGUAACAGGAGACAGAAGAGCCAGGAGGAGACUUUGGCCUAAAUGGAUCAGCAACACCACAGAGCAUCCACUCCCCCAGAGCAUCACCCGGAAGGACUAUCCGUUCGGAGACAUCCUGGGAGAACAAGAGGUUUCUUGUCUGACUCUAAAAUUUAUUUUAUCAGUGUAUCUAGGGUUGGGCUGAGUUUAAACAGAAAACCUUUAAGCACUAUAUGCCUGCUAGACAUAUUAAUGCAAUAAAAGAACCCUGUGUCUUGCUAAACUAAAUUCUCAAAAGUUAACAUUAAAAAAUGAUUCACAGCCAGGUGUGGUGGCUUACGCCUGUAACCCCAGCACUUUGGGAGGCCGAGGUGGGCGGAUCACUUGAUCCCAGGAGUUUCAGACCAGCCUGGACAACAUGACAAAACCCUGUCUCUACUAAAACUACAAAAAUUAGCUGGACAUGGUGGCGCAUGCCUGUGGUCCCAGCUACUUGGAAGGCUGGGGUGGGAGGAUCACUUGAGCCCGGGAGGUCAAGGCUGCAGUGAGCUGUGAUUGCGCCAUUGCACUCCAGCCUGGGCAACAGAACAAGACUCUAUCUCAACAAAACAAAACAACAGAACAAAACAAAAAAAACAAAACACACACACACACACAGAGAAAGCGAUUCACCUAUUUUUUCAAUAUAGACCACUUUUUAAACUUUUUACUUUGAAAAAAAUUAUAAAUUCACAGGAAGUUGUGGAAAAGCACCCUGUGCCAUUUACUCAGUUUCUGUGAUGAUUACAUUUUACAUAACUACACUGCAAUGUCAAAACCAGGAAACUAACAUUGAUACAGUGUGUGUAUGGUUUUAUGCCAUUUUUUUCUCUUAAAAUUCUUUUUUCUUUUUAAUUAUCAUGGAUAUACAAAGAAAGGACAUGCCAUUUCAUCACAUGUAAAUUGUGGACGUUUUAACUUAGAGCAGGGGUCCACAGACUGUCGCCUGAGUGCCAUAUCCAGCUGGCCUCUGGCUUUUGCGAAUAAAGAUAAAGUCUCGGAACACAGCCACGCUCAUUCAUUUGCAUAUUGUUCGUGGCUGCUUUUCACUCCGGUGGUGGAGCUGAGUAGUUGUGAUGCUUGCAAAGCCUCAAAUAUUUCCCUUUUGACCCUUUAUAGGAAAAGCUUGCUGAUCCAUGAUUUAGAGAAUCAUUGGAAUUUUUUUAAUCUAAAAAAAUCCUUGGGGUCCCUAUAGUCUAGCCCUUUUAUUUGAUAGAGGAGGAAGCUAAGCUCAGGGCAGACAGAGGACAUGUCCCAGGUCACACACCAGUCAGCACCAAGUAAAUCUAUAUCCUUGGGGUCCCUAUAGUCUAGCCCUUUUAUUUGAUAGAGGAGGAAGCUAAGCUCAGGGCAGACAGAGGACAUGUCCCAGGUCACACACCAGUCAGCACCAAGUAAAUCUAUGGCCAGGGUCUCCUGACCUCCCUGCUGUUCUGGUCUCAGCAGGGCACUCAACUGGUCACUGGACCAUUAAGCUGGAUUUUAUAUUUUGAGCAUGUUUGGGAGUUGGGUAGUUGGGUAAAGUAGUUUCAUGUCCUCAACACAAACAUUUCUUCUAAAUUUCUUUUGUAGCUUGAAUUCCACUGGGCAAUCUGUUUGCUUAUUUUCUUAUUUGACUAAAAGAAAACAUGUGUCACAACAUUAAAAAUGGUGAAAUGAGGCCAUAGACCAGGGCUGCAACCUCAGUGUCCUCGGGCAGCCGAUGUAAAUGAGCGAAGCAGGAGAGGAACCUGCCUGGGGGGGCUGCAGGGCAGGGUGGGGACUGUGGCAAAGGGCAUGCCCGAGGUGACCCAGCUCCAGUUCAUUGUUCCUACAUGUGAAUGCAAGGCAAGAGUGGCCAGAUUGGAUUUUCAAGUGACCUUUUCUAAUAUUUAAAUGUUAGCAACUACUUAAAAAAUCCACAGACCCUGAGCAGUUCAACCUUGGCCCCAGGUUUCCCAUUUACCACAGUUUACUCUUGGUUUGGCCUCAGGGAUCUUACGAAUUUGAGCCAUCAGAAUCAAGGGGUUGACUGUGAGAGGACAGGGAUGGUGAAGAUCCCCAUCGCCACUCCAGUUCAAUCUCUGGUGGACGAAGGGUCAUCUUCAUAGGUGCGCCAUGGCCCAGCGUUUCUACAUGUGCUCACCUACCACUAGGUGAGCUCCCAAGGAAGCCGAUGGCUCAGGCUGUACUGACCUCUCCCAGGGAAACAGUUGCUUCCCUGAGACCUUCUUACUAAAUACACUUCCUACAUACAGGAGCUGUCAUACCCUCAGGUAUGUAGGCGUGACCAACACUUAGUGUUCUCAGUAGGGGAACACUUGGUAGUACCAAAGACAUUUUUGGUUGUCACAACUGGGGGCCUGCUGCCGGCAUCCAGGGUGGAUCCUGGGAAUGCUGCUAAACACCCUACAAUGUACAGCACAGCCCCCACCCCCAACAAAAGACAGUUUUUCUCUGGCCCCCAAACUCAGUGGUGCCCAAGUUGAGAGACCUUGAUCUAGAGCAAUGAACCCGACAUUUGUAGUUAUCCAAGAUGAGGUGCUCCAAAAAAUCACCGGCCAGUGUUCAGUGAACAUCGAACGUGGUUGGUGGGCUCUAGAUAUUCUGCCGAAUUCAGGAUUUCCUAACCUCCUGCUGCGGCUGAUGCGUUCAGAGCCCAUCAGGAAAGGUUGGUAGAGCGGAGAAACCUGGCCCAGAGGGAUUCCGCACUGAUACGGGCGCACAGGAGGCCGCACGGAGGAGGGAGUGGCGCCCCUAGCGGGGGCCUCAGGAUGUAGCUCCUGAACCCCUUUAGAAUUUUAAUUCUCUAAAUGAAAAUGCCUAUUAUUUUUGAAAGGAUUUGCUUAAACUUCUUAUCUGAAAACAGUUACAUUGCAGGGAUCAAUUUGUUGAAAGUGAAAGCAAAAACUCCAACACAAAGAGUAAACUGCCUCUUAUCUAUGUGUGAGCAGAAUGCUGGAGGGGGGAUUUGACUCUCCUGGCCUCAGUAGCGGCCCUUCUGAGAACUGUGUGCCCAGUUCUGCCUGUCUGCAGGAUUUCAUCACACUGUGUGCAAGAAACCAAAGUGGGAGGAGAAGAGACAUUUCGGUUCAGCCAAUUUUUCCAUUCUCACUAAGUUUGUAGUGUAAGAAAUAAUUGUAAAUUUUUCUUUGACUUAUAUACUGCCAGUGAGACAAGGAAGUCACUUGAGGAAAAUGUGAUGGAAAAAGGAAUUUCAUCCAUUUCCUCAAGAAAAUCACUGUGUGUGUGCGUACAUGCAGGUGCCUGCACUGAUUACAGAAAAGGUGUGAAAGGAAAAAAUCUUUCCAUUGGAGCUUCAAAUAAGCCAAAUAUUAACUGUUCACUUACUGGCUACUAACAACAGUUUUGGGGUUUUUCAAGGAUGGCUGUCUGUUUGGAGGAGUAACUUUAAUCAGUACAGCUGACCACGAUAUCAGCCAUUAAUUUCCAACAUUAGCUUAAAUCCUGUUUCUGAUUAUAAAUAUAAUGUACAUGUUCAUUAUAGCACACUUGGAACAUACAGAACAAUUAUAAAGCAGAGUAUCAAAACUACCUGGAAUCCUGACAUUGACAGAUAAACCACUGUUAACCAUUGGUAUAUUUUAGGGCAUGGCUUAGUAAACUAUGGCCUGUUGGCCAAAUCUGACCUGUUGCCUGUUUUUAUAAAGUGUUACUGGAACUCAGCUGUGUUCAUUACUUUUUGUAUGCUGUUUUCAAGAUACAAUGUCAGAGAGACCAUGUGGUUGCAAAGCUUAACAUAUGUACUAUCUGGCCUUUUAUAGAAAAACGUUUGCCAGUCUCUUCUUAGGGAAGUCUUUAUCAUGUGUGUGUGUGUGUGUGUGCAUGUGUGUGUGGGGGGGGCACAUAUGAUAGACCCAUUAAGUUGAUACGUUCGGUAAUCAUAGUGAGGAAUCUCUAGGAAGAACAAGUUUCAAGUUUUCUGGGGACAUAAUGAAUGGUUUUGGUUAUGCUGAGUGUGGGAGAGCUGGGUGUGUGUUCCCAGGGGAAGCAGGAGCAUGGUCUGAGCUGGGGCGGAGGUCCAGGGCUACAGCCUCACUUGGUAAUAGUGGAAGCUGUGGACACAGGGGGACAAAUGUUCAGGGAGAAAGAAAAAGAUCAAAGUUGGCUAUGGGGAAUAUGGUGUGGUGAGCUGUUCUUAUGCAGGAGAGGGAGGAUGAGAGAGGGAGAAGGCAAGGAGCCUCGCAUCCCUUGUGGAGGAUGGUGCCCAGCAGUGACAAAGGCUUCAAAGAGGAGGACUGAGCUAGUGGGUGUGAAAGGGCCCCUGGACUUGAAAAUCAUCAGGUAGUUAUAACUCCUGCGCUCACGCACAACAGAAACACAGAAACACUCACCAGAGUGGGGUGGGGAGGGAGUACAGGGGAGCCAGUGUGUUUUGGAAGGUAAUGGGUAUUUCAUGGGAUUAAAAGAUGGGCUGACAAUUUUGUACUCAUUUGUUAUGCAGCCCUAGGGAACUAACGAAGUCUCCAAAGUAGGCAUUUUUCAUUUUAGACUUUGUUAGUUAUUUGUGUAUUUCUGUGAUUGCAUUUCAACACUGGCAUUCUUCACCCGUGAGGACCAUCUUCAGGCAGGCCUUCCUUGUUGCUGGCCCAUCGUCAGUCCACUCACUCUUAUUCUCAGCAAUGGCUAUUUCCAGCCUUCUCCCUGGACCUCUGCAACCACAACCCCAUCUCCUCUCCCUGCUCUGAUAACUCUGCUGCAAAGAGAGGAGCAGCAAUCAAAAUAAAAUCCCCGCAGCUCCAGGGCCAAACGCACCAGCCGCCGGGUGUGGUGCCUCAUCCCUCCCCUCCCUUAGGGGAAGUGCUGGUCUCACCUGCAGCUGCUUCUCGCGUCCCCACAGCCUCAUUCAUCCCCUCCUCUGGAUCCUUCCCGGGAGCACACACACGUGCUGUCAUGUCUUUUAUUGCAAAACCAACAACCCUCCCUGGCCCCCGCACCCCUGUCUAGAUUGUGCCUAUGUUUCCUGCCGCUCUCGCAGCAGCGAGGUGUUCAUGCCUCACUGCCCCACUUCUCUCCUUCUCUCUGCAGCCCUGGCCACACUUUCCCCUCACCUCCUCCAGGUGGGUGCGGCAGCAGAAGGAAAGGCUGCUUGAAGUUGGUUCAAAAGAAAAGAGGAGGGGAGGAAUGAAUUUCUGGCGUUGAGACCUAGUAACUGUUUUCAAGGAAAUAGGAUGGUUGCUGGAGGGGAGAAGGAGUAUCAACAGAAGUCUAUUUGGAAUUUCUUUUUUGUGUGUGGGAAGAUGCAUGUAAAAUAAAAUUUUCCAUUUUAAUUAUUUUUUAGGUGUACAAAUUUAUUAGCAAUAAGGACCUUCACAAUAUUGUGUACCCAUCAUUAGUAUUUCCAAAACUUUUUAAUCAUCCCAAAUGGAAAUUCUGAACUCAUUAAAUAAUCCCUUUCAGCUGCCUCUCCCCAGUCCCUGGAAACCUCUAAUCUACUUUCAAUCUCUGAAUUCGCCUAUUCUAGAUAUCCCAGGGACAUGGAACUGCAGGAAACGUGCAUGGAUCAGGUGCACCCUGCUCCAUCUGCUUGUUCUUCUAUGAGCCACUCCCCAUCGGUCACAUUCCCGCCUGAGCUCCUCCUGUCAGAUCAGCAGCAGCAUUGGAUUCUCACAGGAGCUCGAACCCUAUUGUGAACUGUGCAUGCCAGAGAUCUAGGCUGUGGACUCCUUAUGAAAAUCUAAUGCCUGAUGAUCUGUCACUGCCUCCUAUCACCCCCAGAUGGGACCAUCUAGUUGCAGGAAAACAAGCUCAGGGUUCCCACUGAAUUCUACAUUAUGGAAGGUGGUCAGUGAAGAGAAGAGGAAGAGAGUAGAAGCUUCUUUUAGGAUGGAGGAGAAGAAGACAGUUGGAGUGGGACAAGUCCCAUUUGAUGGUGUGUGGUCGCUACAGCAGGUACAGUGAAGUGGCUCCUGUUUUGGAAAUGAGGGAAGCUCUGAUUCCCAUGAGAGAGUAGAAAAAGGUCAGGAUGGAUGCUAAUGGGAUGCACUAGGUGGAGGGCGGCUGGGAAGCUACCUCUGUGCUUGCACAGUCUCCUCAGAUGGGAAUUAUUUCUCUACUUCUGUCAUAUUUGUCUUGGUGUAACUGAACCCGCAUCUUAAAAUUCCCUGAUUACCUCAGUUGGAAGUGAGUUCUCCUACAUUUGCGCUCCUGAAACACGUGAGAAUAUUAGUUGUUCUGAAUGAGCUGUUACUGUACUCACGGGUGGUACAGUUUAGAGAGGGUGACGUGUUUGUUAUGAGUAUGGGCUCUGGACCUAGCCUCCCUAGGCCCAAAUCUCCGUUAUCUGCUUUCACUCACUGGACCUAGGGCAAGUUAACUUUUUUCAUCUGCAAAAUGGACUAGAUCUUGAAAGCAAUGUCAGUGCAUUUUGUGAGGAUAAAACAAGUCACUGCAUUUAUUUGAUUAAUAUGUACAAAGCACUUUGAGUACACUGAGUACUCACUAAUGCUAGCUGCUACAUUUCCUACUAGUGUAAUUGAACGAAUACACACACUUAGAGUAUAUUACACUUUAAAUAAACGUUAUUGUAUGUACUUGAUUGUCACUAUUUGGUGAUAGAGACCCUGUCUUCCUUGCAGUGAAGGGCACCAUAGUGGCUAAACUUAGAGUUACUUUAGAAAAACCAGGUGUUAGGGUGCCCCCAAGAGCAUCGCCAGUGUGACGGAACAGUAUCAAAGAGGACUUCACAGAUGACAGUUAAGGUUUCAGGUCCACGUAGGUCUUAACUAUAAAUUGUGACAGCGUAAGGGCUGAAGGUCUGAGAGUGUGUGUGCUCACUAAGAGGCUAGGGGUUUCAAGUUUCCUGAAAUAACUGCAAGAACUGUGCAACACAGAGAGAACCUACAGGGAAAGAAAGGAAGGGGCCGGGAGCUUGGACUCACAGUAAGGACCUGGGAUGGGGAUUGAAAACCAAAAGCAACUGUGAUGACACUCUGCUCCAGCUGGUGGGCAAAGCUGGGAAGAGCCGGAACCCUGGCUUCCUGUUCCACCUCCAUAGGACCCAUCCCUGCUGCUCCAUGCCCUCUCUGAAGAUCCACCAGUGCAAAUGGUCAUCUCAGCCUCCUAAGAGUCAGCCCUCUUGUGAAUCCUCCUGCAGAUACAAACAAGGCUGGGAUGUUGCUUGCCCUGCAGUUGGGGGUUGUCUCAGGCAGAGGCCCUAAGGGAUGGUGGUGACACCAGGCCAGACGGGAGAGCCUGGCUGUUUGCCUGAGAGUUCCAGCUUUGCCCCUAAUAGCCAUGAGACAGCUGUUCUCAUGCCAAGAAAAUGAAUUUAUAUAGUGAAGUAAAUCAAAUUGUAAAGAACAAUGUGAUUAGAGAAAAAAAAUCGUUUGUUAUCUUGCAGUCCCCGGACAUGAUAUAUUCGCGGCCCAGGACCUUUUAAACAAAGAAAUAAUAAGAAACCAUUUAGAAAAACAAAUAAACUGGCAAAUGUUUGUGAAAUAUUUAUAAGAUGCAGAGCCAUUUUAUAUGCAAGAAUUUAUUAGCUAAUUUUUUUUAUCUUGUGAAGGACUAUUUUUGGAGACAAUGAAAUUGUUCUGGAAAAAUACUUAAAUUGGUAAGGAUUAAAAACAGACAAGAAAGCCAAGACUUUAAUUACUAUUAUGAUUUAGUUAUAUUUUUUGGGAAAAAAUUAUGCAAAGCUAUUUGUACUUUUAAUCUUUUGUCAACAUUUUCCCUAUAUUCAUAACUUAUCCAACUUAUCAAACAGAAAAAAGUCAGAUGUAUGAGGGGAAGAGAUCUGGCUCAGCUGAAAUUACUUGGUCUCUAACUCUGUGAUGAUGUGAGACCUUAGGAAUCUCAGACUCGCUGUAUUAGUGAGUAAGUAAAAAUCCUGGGUUUUAGAACAUUUAAAGGAAAUGGUGUUUAUUCUCCCUUAUUUGUCUCACUUGGCAGUGGAAUUAUUGCAAUUUCAGGGCAAUGUACUUGAACAGUGAUGUUGGCAAAAGGGAGUAAGAGUAGAUAGGAUAGUGAAUGAUUAGAAACCAUUUUGCAGAGGGAGCAGUUGAAGGAAUGGGGUUCUUUACACAGAGAGCAGAAUACUGGGUGGGAAGCCAUAGGCCAGCCCUCCAAUGUAUGAUGGUUUCAAUGUCCUCCUUCUUUCUCUGUCCUCUUCCCAGGAGGGGCUCUUGACCAGAUGGGUGAGAGAGUGCAGAGCUUUGUGCAUAGCAGUGCAGACAAGUCGUGCAAUAGGGUGUGGUCAAAACGACCAAGAAACAGGAUUGCGUGUCAUGUGGGUGCUUCAUCUUGAGGAAUCUGGGAAUCCUAAAACAUCCUUCAAUUUUCCAGAGGACUUGAGAUGUCUGUCCUUUCUGAGAUGGACAGGUUCCCCUGAGAGCUGUCUCACUGUGGUCUACAAAGGGGGCACAGCAAGAUGGACUUGGGAGUUUCUGUAGCUCUGCCGGCCAAACUCCAGCCAGGGGGAAGUCCAUGGAAACUUGCUGGCAGUCCCAGCCUCUUAGAGUGAUCCCCUGGGAGCCUCCCAGACUUUGUAAAGGACGAGUUUGAGGAGAAGAAAGACAUGUCGCUCCAGAUUAGGCCACCAGUUUCUCUGCUAGUUCACUGCAACACUUUGUACAUUUCCAGGUCAUCUCUUACAUAUGCUGGAGAUGUGUGGUGGAGCUUGAUGCUAAUUAGCAGGCUAGAUCUGUGAUGUUUUUAUUAAGUUGGGUCACAAAGUGUUCAAUGCCUCUCUCUCUAGAAUGAUGAUGCACUCAUCAACCUGUCCUAAGUUCUGCGGCUUUAGCCAAGAUUCUUAAAGAAUAGGAAAAGUCCCACUUCACACCCUGUUCCAUCAGGCUUUAACUGGUCACUGUACUGCUCGGUACAACACUCUGUUCAUUUGUGUGAGUAAAUAGAAGUAAGAGUCAUUGAACUCAAGGAGGUAUAGCACUCUAUUGAGGCUUGAGUCUUAGCAGGUGGUACCUUGGUGGAGAAGUGAUUUCAUUCUUAGAACUUUUAAAGGAAGUUUCUGGGAGAGUCACCUCUUGGGUGGAGGUUGGGUUUGAUCUCAAGGACUUUGUGUUUGAGUUUAUAGGACUCUGCCUAAGCAAACAUAGAGCUGUCUAGCCUAAGUGGUGUUCUUUGAUGCACACUGGGACUUUCUUGAUCAGUUAUUAAAUGUAAUUCAUUGUUAUAAAUGUGCCCUUGACAAAAAUGGAUGUUCUUUAAUUUUUUAAUAUAGAACUCUGUAUCCAUCCAUUAGGGAAGGCUUGUCAAUUGUAUUGUUCAACUAUUCUUGCUGAAUUUUUUGUCUGAUUGAUGUAUCAAUAAUUGUCACAGUAAUCCAAUAUGAUGGUGAAUUUAUCAAACUUCUUUCUGCAGUUUUAACACUUUUUGCUACAUCUUGUGAGUGUUUUCUUAGGUCCAUACAUUUGACAAAAUUUCUUUUUGUCAUUUCAAUAAACUGAAUCUUUUCAAAUUAAUGUAAUGAUAAUCUCUAUCCCUAACUCUUCAUUUUGUCUUAGUAUCUCUUUUGUCUAGUAUUGAUGCAGCUGUAUUAGCUUUCUUUCUGUUGGUAGCCAUUUAUGUCUUUUAUUUCUUAAAACAUUGAACCAUAUAAAAUUGGCAAUAUCCAUCCUUUUUUGUCCCACAAAAAUGGCAAUUUCGUAUGGCUGAACCAAUGCUGUCAAACUGCUUUUGCAUGCCCCUAUGCUUUAAGUGGGUCUCUUGUAUACAAUAUGUAAACCCUUCUUUUGAUCUUUGUCUUUUAACUAUGACUUUAGCCCAUUUACAUUUACUGUAACUACUGGUAUAAUGGGAUCCAUUCUACGAUACUAAUUUAUUAUUUUUGUUUGCUUACCUUUCUACAUUUUAAAAAAUUGCUAUUUUUUUAUUUCUUCGAUAAUAAGAUAGAACUUUUGUGUGCCCUCAUAUUCACUGGUGUCAUCUUCCCUACAAAUAUUGCCAUCCUAUUAAUAUUUUCUAUCUUAGGGAUGGUGGCUAAUGGAACUUUCUGUGAUGAUGGAAAUGUUCUAUAGCUAUGCUGGUCAAUAUAGUAGCCACGAAGGGCUAUUAAACCCUUGAAAUGUGGCUAAUGUGACAAAGGAACACAUUUUAGAAUUUUAUUUAAUUUUAAUUAACUCAAAUUUAAAUUUAAAUAGCCACAUGAGGCUAGUAACUACCAUAUCGGAUAGUGAAGAUCUAUCUUAUUAAUUCUGUAUAUUUUGGGCAUAUUUAUCUCUUCCUUGUCCUAACGACUAAAUAAAGAUAACAAACUUUGCCAAUA